AAUCCUACGGGACGCAGCAGUAGGGAAUCUUCCACAAUGGACGAAAGUCUGAUGGAGCAACGCCGCGUGAGUGAAGAAGGGUUUCGGCUCGUAAAGCUCUGUUGGUAGUGAAGAAAGAUAGAGGUAGUAACUGGCCUUUAUUUGACGGUAAUUACUUAGAAAGUCACGGCUAACUAAGUGCCAGCAGCCGCGGUAAUACGUAGGUGGCAAGCGUUGUCCGGAUUUAUUGGGCGUAAAGCGAGUGCAGGCGGGGCAAUAAGGAUUAUGUGAAAACCUUUGGGCCCACCGG
rnacentral:rRNA from 1 species